rnacentral:rRNA from 1 species
GGGAGGCAGCAGUAAGGAAUAUUCGUCAAUGGAGGCAACUCUGAACCAGCCAUGCCGCGUGCAGGAAGACAGCCCUCUGGGUCGUAAACUGCUUUUAUUCGGGAAUAAACCUUUCUACGUGUAGGAAGCUGAAUGUACCGAAGGAAUAAGGAUCGGCUAACUCCGUGCCAGCAGCCGCGGUAAUACGGAGGAUCCAAGCGUUAUCCGGAUUUAUUGGGUUUAAAGGGUGCGUAGGCGGCUUAUUAAGUCAGGGGUGAAAGACGGUGGCUCAACCAUCGCAGUGCCUUUGAUACUGAUGAGCUUGAAUGAACUAGAGGUAGGCGGAAUGUGACAAGUAGCGGUGAAAUGCAUAGAUAUGUCACAGAACACCGAUUGCGAAGGCAGCUUACUAUGGUUUUAUUGACGCUGAGGCACGAAAGCGUGGGGAUCAAACAGGAUUAGAUACCCUGGUAGUCCACGCCCUAAACGAUGAAUACUCGCUGUUAGCGAUAUACAGUUAGCGGCUAAGCGAAAGCGUUAAGUAUUCCACCUGGGGAGUACGCCCGCAAGGGUGAAACUCAAAGGAAUUUGACGG